AACGAACGCUGGCGGCAUGCUUAACACAUGCAAGUCGAACGGAAAGGCCCUGCUUUUGGGCGGUGCUCUAGUGGCGACCGGGUAAGUAACACGUAAGUAACCUGCCCUUGACUGUGGGGUAACUUCAGACCACUGAAUCUAAUACCGGCUAGGAGCUCCUGCUUCAUGGUGGGCGUUGGAAAGUUUCGGCGGUUGGGGAUGGACUCGCGUCUUAUGAGCUUGAUGGAUGGGUAGUGGAUUACCAUGGCUUUGACGGGUAGCAGGCCUGAGCGGGUGACCGGACACAUUGGGCCUGAGAUACGGCCCAGACCAGUCUGGGACGCAGCAGUGGGGAAGAUAGCACAAUGGGCUGAAGCAUGAUGUAGUACCGCCGCGUGCGGGAAGACGGCCUGCGGUUUGUAAAGUGCUUUCGUUUGUGACGAAGCGUGAGUGACGGUACUGGGUAAAGAAGCACCGGCUAACUACGUG
rnacentral:rRNA from 1 species